AAGAGAGAAUAAAAACAUCCCUGAAAAGCGUAUACCUUCACAAGUAAAACUCCUUUGCAAGCAGCAACAACUAGAGGCAUAAAAGGGGGCACCUGGGGCAAUGGCAAUUUCCAGCUGCUGGUGCUACUGGCAUGGCCAUGUGGCUGUGGCUGCAGCUGUUAUUUUUCUGCCUCCACCUAAAUUGACAUCUGGGACUACUGCUCCAGCCACCCUACUUUAGUUAUGCUACUGACAGCCAGUCAGAGUUACCAACACAUACUAAAUACUCUAAUGAUUUCCCUAGAGAAAAUCAAUGUUAACAGGUACCUCUGCUUUCACACUGCAAUAGUAAAGCAGAGUUAAGAAAAACUUCCAUGUUUAGAACCCCUUUAAGCCUGAAAAUCUCAUAGCACCUUAUUGAGUGCCUGCAGAGAUAACUGGACUGUAACCACAUACAAGUUGGCAGGUUAGUAUUUAGGCAGGCUAGUGUUUCUGAAGGAAAAGGCUGCCAUAGCAUCACAGGACAAGAGGUAAAGAGCACCUUUUCUAUUUGGAACUGCUUGGGAAAUUUUCACCUAGCAAAACAAUGAUGCUUGGAGCUAUAUCAGUAUAUGGAAGCUAACACAAGCUCUUGUGAGAAGUGCUGAGGAUCUUUAAUGACCACAACUGGUUAGAAGUUCAGUUUUUUCCCUGAAACUUAUUCAGAUAUCGGCACCCCCAGAACCAGUGACACUGGUCUCAUACUUAUUCUAAAACACAAAAGGGAGAUUGACUACAUCAGACUGUGCACACCGGAACAGCCACAUCCAUCUGUCUUCUCCUACCCCAGAUGGCUGGUACCUACUGACAGGCAGCCAACAGCAAUUCGCCACUACAAAAGAAAGCUCCUUCUUUGUUGACGUCUGGGAUCAGGGGGACCAGCAAGUUUCCAUUACUUUCAUGCUCAAGGCAGUGAUGAGACAGGUCCAAAGAACUGCUCCAAACAAAGGGAGGUAAGCCAAGAACCAACAUGCAGGACUCUUGUCAGCAAGGAGAAAGCAGUUAUUCCAGCUGCAAAAGGCUUGUAUAGCCAUAGGGAGCCCAAAGGGGACUUUGCGAUCUGAAGAAAAGUUGAAGUGUUGGCAGAAAGGAAAGGGCAGGGAUGGAAGUGCACAUUCCAGGGUUUCAUCAUUUAUAUACCAUAUUUAUUUGACUACAAGAUGAACGGCAUGGGGGUGGGGGAGACCCUCAUCUUACAUUCACAUAUAAGGAAAGCUCACCAAAUACAGUCCAUCUUUGAAAGGCAGCACGUGCUCAGUAAUGGAAACCAACUAUUACACUGAUUAAGUGCACCUAACAUUAAACAUGACUAUAAAGUACAUGGCUGAUAUUGUGGAAACAUAUCUGGAAGGGGUGAUACCAUGAUCACAAAGGUGGUUUCCCACAGUGAGGCCUGUCCCUUGCACUUCAGGCAGGCUGACCCCUACAUACAAGAUUUUCCAAAUGUGGGACUACAAAAAUUGUGUGGCCAUUGGGGACUGCAUUCACACAACACCCCCUGCCCCCCAGCUUACUCCUCAGCCUUUUGGCUAGGAGUAAGCGAGACAAGAGGGCAUCUGAACCCCAAUGCCUCCAAGCUUGGAGCUUGCACACAGGAUGCCUAUCGUGGAGUCAGGGAGUAUCCCAAGACUGAUGGGUCUGGGAGACAGGAUACUUGCUUAGUGGUAGAGCCACAUAGAUCUGAAUGAUUGAGCUCUAUUCAGUUGAAAUUCAGAACU